rnacentral:rRNA from 1 species
AAGCUCGUAGUUGAAUUUCGGGAUCGAAUUGUUGGUCGUGCUUCGGUACGCACUGGCAUUAUCGGUUCCUACCUUCUGAAGAACCGCGAUGUCAUUAAUUUGGUGUCGUGGGGAAUCGGGACUGUUACUUUGAAAAAAUUAGAGUGUUUAAAGCAGGCUUACGCUUGAAUACAUUAGCAUGGAAUAAUGAAAUAGGACGUUUGAUUCUAUUUUGUUGGUUUCUAGGAUCGACGUAAUGAUUAAUAGGGAUAGUUAGG